rnacentral:ncRNA from 2 species
GGUCACGAGUGCCAGCGUUAAACCCCGGUUUGCUGGCCGGCAACCCUCCUUCCGCGGCGGGGUGCCCCGGGUGACGACCUGGCCGGGCCAGAACGUGGUUCGGCAAGCGCGGGGC